UCUGUAUGACAUCUGUGACUACAACGUCACCAGGGACCAGUGCAAGGAGCUCGGAUGCUGUUUCUACAAGGGCGUCUGCUACAAGAAGGUUGUCCCCAGAAAAUGUCGGGAUGGUGAAGCCUGGGUAUGAGACUGUCCCUACCAAGACGGCUGCUGGACAAAGGGUGCUGCCGGCUGAAGCAGUCUGGUCGGGCGGUGGUGUCUAGCCGAGGACCGUGGGGACAUGACGUGACUGGGUUUUCUCCUGAGAUCAUUUUGGCACCACGCUAAAGCACAAUACAGUUCUGAGAUCAGGCUUGGGCUAUAUCCAAGGA
rnacentral:lncRNA from 1 species